rnacentral:rRNA from 1 species
UACAGAGGGUGCAAGCGUUAAUCGGAAUUACUGGGCGUAAAGCGCAUGUAGGUGGAUAGAUAAGUUUGAUGUGAAAGCCCUAGGCUUAACCUGGGAAUGGCGUUGAAGACUGUUUAUCUGGAGUUUGACAGAGGGUCGUGGAAUUUCCGGUGUAGCGGUGAAAUGCGUAGAGAUCGGAAAGAACACCAGUGGCGAAGGCGGCGACCUGGGUCUAAACUGACACUGAGGUGCGAAAGCGUGGGGAGCAAACAGG